CAGUCGCCGCGGGAAUACGAAGGGGGCUAGCGUUGUUCGGAAUUACUGGGCGUAAAGCGCACGUAGGCGGAUAUUUAAGUCAGGGGUGAAAUCCCGCAGCUCAACUGCGGAACUGCCUUUGAUACUGGGUAUCUUGAGUAUGGAAGAGGUUAGUGGAAUUGCGAGUGUAGAGGUGAAAUUCGUAGAUAUUCGGAAGAACACCAGUGGCGAAGGCGGCUUACUGGCUCAUACUGGACGCUGAGGUGCGAAAGCGUGGGGAGCAAACAGGAUUAGAUACCCCUGUAGUCCCUGUCUCUUAUAC
rnacentral:rRNA from 1 species